GAAGAUUUCCUGGAAAUGUUUUUGUUUGAAAACAAAUGUUUUUGUUUGAAAACCUCACUGCUCAGAGCUAAGAACAGAGGACGAGUCCCGCUAUUAAGGAAUAAACCUUGUGAAGCAGGCGGUGGUGGAAGCCACCGUCUGCUUCCUGUAUAGUGGAGAAUCUGAUUUGGGGUCUGUGAUUUGAAGGACGGUAUUCCCAGAUUCGGUGUCGUUUUCCCCUGGCCAGUCUCCCUUCCUCUUUUCUUAUACCUCAUGAGGGAAAAUGAACAGCCACAGCCAUAGAGAAGUGAAAUCCAUCGGCUAUGCCCAGUUUCUGCCCAAUAUCCUUAGUUGUUAAUGUCAUUCAUUUUUUUGGAAGCCACUUCAAACCCUUUUUGGAAUAAAAAUAGUUAUUAUACAUAA